UCAGAUUGAACGCUGGCGGCAGGCCUAACACAUGCAAGUCGAGCGGUAACAUUUCUAAGCUUGCUUAGAAGAUGACGAGCGGCGGACGGGUGAGUAAUGCUUGGGGAUCUGCCUGAUGGCGGGGGACAACCACUGGAAACGGUGGCUAAUACCGCAUAAUACCUAUGGGUCAAAGUGUGGGACCUUCGGGCCACACGCCAUCAGAUGAACCCAAGUGAGAUUAGCUGGUUGGUAAGGUAACGGCUUACCAAGGCGACGAUCUCUAGCUGGUCUGAGAGGAUGAUCAGCCACACUGGGACUGAGACACGGCCCAGACUCCUACGGGAGGCAGCAGUGGGGAAUAUUGGACAAUGGGGGCAACCCUGAUCCAGCCAUGCCGCGUGUGUGAAGAAGGCCUUCGGGUUGUAAAGCACUUUCAGUGGUGAGGAAGGUGGUGUCGUUAAUAGCGGCAUCAAUUGACGUUAGCCACAGAAGAAGCACCGGCUAACUCCGUGCCAGCAGCCGCGGUAAUACGGAGGGUGCGAGCGUUAAUCGGAAUUACUGGGCGUAAAGCGCACGUAGGCGGUAUGUUAAGCAAGAUGUGAAAGCCCAGAGCUCAACUCUGGAAUAGCAUUUUGAACUGGCAUGCUAGAGUUUUGGAGAGGGUGGUAGAAUC
rnacentral:rRNA from 1 species